rnacentral:lncRNA from 1 species
GUUCACUUCUGCUUGGCAAUCAAUUUAGGGAUUUUGAAAUGUAUGCAGAGGCAGAGAUGGUAUAUCGAUCCCUAAAAUUCAUGUAUCAUCAAUGGUAGCUAAUGAUUGCUACCUAUAACUCCUGCUGCAAUGGACACAAAGAAUACCUAUUGGCUGAUUUUCUAUUUUUUGAGUGAGUGGAUUGGGAGGUAUUUUCAGUUUUAAGGAAUCAAUCGAGUAUUUCAACCAACGAGGGCAGGAAAAUUAUGUAAGAUGCUUUCCAGUGGUUUGAGUAUCAAGAAAAUCUUAUGUUAAAAGAGGCAUUAAGUUUCACAUUAUCAACUAUUAUAAGGAAGAAUCUUCUCUAUGCUUGUUCUUUUACACUUAAUGCCCAAACUUAUCUCCUUUUCUCUCCCAACCCUGUCUCUUCAUCUUUCUCCAUAGUAUUAUUUUGCCUUAUAAUAUUUGUGUUCAAAAUACAAUACUUUUCUUCAAGCAAGCAAGAAUGGAAACAAAUCUGCCUGUGGCACCCAGCAUGUGCUUUCAAUUCCAGACAUGCCUUUUGCAUGUGGUUUUUCGUAUGUAAUGAUGACUCUGAGGUCAGACCCAUCAGGUUUCCUAUUUCUCAAAUCACUGAACUAACAAACUGCAGCCUCUCACUUAGCAUGUUGGUCAAAACAACACUGUGUUUCUGCUCUGCCUUUUCAAUAAGCGCGUGCUUUCCCUUUGCACUCCAUGGAAAUGAAAAACACGUUUCUCUACCAAACCACUACCCUAUAUCAAGCAGACACACACAUCAUGGUCCAGUGUGGUUACUAUCUUUAUAUUAUAAGACAACCCUACAACUGAUGAUUGGAUAAACCAAAAUAGAGAAUAAACUUGCACAAUAAGAGAGGUUUGAUAAGUCUGUAGAUUUUGACAUAGUUUGGGAUUUGGGGUUUACAUAUGUAAUGAUUUCAUAUUCCAAAUUCUUUGACUAAGCACUUUUAUACUUUUAAAAUGCUAAUGUAUUAGUUCAAAUUCUAUUCUCAGAUUGGAAAUCUUCAAUUAUGCAUAGCAUUUUAAUUUCCUAAAUGUUUAAUGUAUACACAUUAACAAACAAAACUCCAGCAAUAACAAAGUGACCCCCACAAACUCUACAAAUACUUGUCCCACUGAAUUGGAAAUUGAGAUUACUGUCUGGGCAUUGGAGUCUCAUGAAACCAUCAGUCAGAUAAGCACACUGAGUAGGACCAGCCUGAAGUUUAAUUGAUACAAUGUGAAGGCAAAGUAAAAUAAUAAGCCCAGAAUCCAGGAGCUUAUUCAGGAAAGCUUUUAGAUUUUUCAGGAUGUGACAAAAAUAUUUAGUAAUUGGUGACUAAUGUCGGACAUUUUGGAAUUUCCUAACAAUGAAAAAUGUCAACCAACCUGAGCCUCAUUAAAGGCCAAGGGGAUAUGGACGUGAUUGUGGAUGAGGGAGUUUUAACUUUUUAUGCAGUGAGUGUUUAGCCUACAUAGACACGAAUGCACUCUGUGUGUGUGUGUGUGUGUGUGUGUGUGUGUGUGUGUGUGAAGCCUUUAGAGGUCAGAAGAAGGCUUCAGAGCUUCUGGUGCCAGAGUUAUUGAUGGUUGUGAGCCACCAUGUGAGUGCUGAGAAUUGAACUUGGGUCCUCCAUAACAGCAACAGAUGCUCUCAACAGCUAAGCCAACUGUUCCACUCAGAUCAGGGAUUUUUAAAGACCAAGUGGUCUCAAAAAUAGCUCUAAAAAUUACCAGCAGUAUGAAUAUUUUCUUGUUGUUUAAGCACCCAUGCCUACUUUAUUUCAGCCUCCCUUUCCUUUUUUGGUGAUAAAAUUUAAAGUUUAAGUUUCUAUUGUAUCAUAUGAAUAAUGAGUUAUGAAAUGACUACAACAAGAAUAUUAACAUCACAAAAACUAGAUAUGAAACUCAAAUAUUAACUAUUGAAAUUUUAUUUUCAGUGUUUGGUGCAAGACAAACAUCCUCAUAUAUAUGAAAAUCAAUUUCAGCCCAUCAGAUGUGUUGAAAGAAUUGGUUUUACUAUGUAGAAAUAAUUGUUACAAUUUCAUUAUCAUUAAAUUCAAUAUGGAAGAGCACUGGGGCAACUUGCCUCCAAGGUUUAUAUGCAGGUCUCAAAGGAGACAUAUUCACUUCAGUUUUCUGUCAUGAUAAUAAUGAUGUCUCCUUAUAUGAAUUAAUCCCAGAAAAUUCACCAUCAGUGCAUGACUUCCCACUACUCAAUACCUAGGUAUUUAUGUUGCUGAAUUUCUAGUUUGAAAUUCCAUAGCUGGUUUCUGUUGUCUUGGAUAAUCCCUAUGUAUAUACUCAUAUUGUCAAAUUUUCUGCCUUCAACUAUAUAAGCAUAAUGAUUAAAUCAUAAAUUAUAUUUGCUGACAAUGCCUCUAGAAAAAUGUGUUAAAUGAAUAUCUGCCUUCUUGUACUUUGUUCUGUUGAAGUUACCCAAUAUUCUGGAAUCAACUCUAAAAUUACUUCUUAAAUUAUAAAUGAUUACUUCUUUAUAUGACGUUUGUAUUUUAGGCAAGAUUUAUGUUACUAUGGGCUAGGGAUACAUCUCAGAUACAAACACUUGCCUAACAUGCUCAUCUUCACCUCUCAGCACUCAAAAAUAGUAAUGAUAAUAAUUUUUUUGUAUUUAUUCAGCGAUCUUCCUUAUUACAAAUCCUGACUUCAAACUGGGUUUGUUAUUGUCUCCCCUCCCAAAAUAUGGAUUUCUAAAAGGUAAAAAAAGGAUAAAGUUUCAUAAUUGAUCUUCACUUCAUUGUCUUUGAAACAAAACAUUAUGCAUAUGUGCUCCUCCUAUUGUAAGAUUUUUACUUAAUUUUGGAGUGCAAGUUUACAUUCUCUCACUGUUUGUGUCACUGGAGAUUUCCCUUCAUGACCACCCUUUUGCAUGCAAAUACCUUCAAAGCAUAAGGGCACACUUCACAACCAUCAUGUUCUCUGGGUAAUAGAUUAUUGUGUUUUGAAAGUUUGUGCUCUUAAAGAAUUUCAUACUUGCAUAUGUGUUUUAUAAAUCCACCCCCUUUCACCACCAUCUAGGUCUUUCUAUUCCCACUACUUUCUCUUCCAGCUUCAUGAGUUCAUGUGGUCAUUUUAAGUGUUUCAGCCACUGUCCAUAUAGUGCUGCCUGUGUGUGCAUGGCUGUAGACUAUCUACCGAGAAUUGGUAGUAGUCUCUUAGGGGCUUCAUUCCCUUAGCAGCCAUCUAUCCCAAUAGCGCCUUCCUAGGGAUUAUUUAUAUUCUUAAAUUAGUUAUUCUCUAACACUCUGUAGAAUUAGGCUUCAGGCUGGCCCCAAAGCUGCUGGAUGUAGCACUUUGGGCAUCAUACAUGCUCAGGCCCAUUUCUGACAUUGCAAUCAACAGGUGCACUAUAGCGGUUCUGAGCUUGAGACUCCGUCCUGUAGAAACAUAUUUCAGAUUCACCCACCUACCUACUCAAGAAAAAGACCAAACUGCUGAGGACCCCAGCAAUAAGCCAGUCUUUGAGCCAUGCUUGAUUGCCAGCACAGAAUCUGCCUGGGGCGAUAGACAAAGAACUUUCCCAAAUAAAACCAGUUUGCAAAGACUGGAAAAACUGCUAAUUCUUCAAAGGUUCAGACACACAAACAAGGAAAAAGAAGCAAAGGAGACUAACCUCUCCAACUUGUGCAUCUAUCCGAAAUAAAUGAAUAAAUAAAUAAAUAAAUAAAAUAUUGGGCAUCACUAAAAUUUUCCAACAGAGACGAAAACAGUAUUCAACUCUACUAUCCAUUUGUGAAAGUAAAAAUUUCCAAGCUCAUUAUUUCUUAAAUUGUGGAUUAAAUAUCAUGGUAAAAAGAGGCCAUGAACAUAGACUUUCAAGUUUACAAUAAUUAUAAAGAAUUAAAAUAAAUAUUAAAAAUAAGUGGAAUAAGUAGAUGCAUAUUAGCACAUCAUAUAUAAACAAAAAUAAAAUUAUCUAGAUUAAUAUAUGAAAAAUAGAUAUUCAGAUGAAACAAAUAUGUGAGGACAGAUUUCAUGAAUGAAAUUUCUAAAAUUCACUAUUUAACUAUAAAUCUGAAAGGUUCUACUAGUACAACUUUACAAAGAUUUAAAUCCAUUGUGAAAAAAAAACAAAAAGGAAAAUAUGUAAAUACAUAACAGGACAUUGGAUUUUAUGUAUAUUUUCAGGAACUGAUAAAGCAUGUAUAUGAAAGGUUAGUGUACAUAAGAAUUAAGAUGAUCAUAUAUGUGUGGCUUACACUGAGACAUAGGAGUGGGAACUACUGCUUAUCAAUAUUAAAUGCAAAAUAAAACUGUUUUUAUUCAAUGUCCUAGAGAUGGAUUUGAAAUGGUGCUGGGAAGACAGAACAUUGGAGGAUGCUUUUUAAAUCCAGAAAAGUAGCACUGGCCACUUAACUAAUGAGCCUUAAACUAUAACAUGUGAUAUUUUCAGACUAUGGAGCUGGAUGCCUAUACGAUGCCAAAGUGAUGCUUGAGCCUUGUUUUAUGCCUCAUAACAACAAUGUCAGUUGGAGUUUGGCUCUAUACUUAAAAGGAUCAAGCAACAGAGAGCUAAAAUGUAUGGUAGGUGAACUCUUCUUGAAUUCAGUAUAGGUAAGUAUAUCUUGAAACAGUAACGAUAAUGUGCUGAAUACAUGACAUUUUAUUGAAAGUAAAGGCCUUUACAUAAUGGAACUAAAGGCACAAGCUGCAGAGCCUGAGAAAGUAUUUCAAAUGUAUAAGUCACAAAGGCAUUAAAUUUGGAACAGGUAAAUCAUUUUACAACAAAUAUUAAAUAUACAAACCCAACCUAAAUCACAAAACCUGUAAGUAUAGAGUAUUUGUAAAGCAUGGGAGAGUGAUUCUCUGGCCUUUGAAGGCUCUUUCUGAGUCUUGAGUUAGGCAGAACAGAGAACACUUUGUCAGUAUGGCAGGCUAGAACCACAGACAGCUCCUCAUAAUACACUUUUCUCCAUUGCUUCUGGAACUUAAUUCUAGAACCUUAUCUUGGGAGCAGUGGCCACACAGUUCAUGGCAGAACAGCACCAGAAAGAUAGAGGGCCAAGGACAAAUGACACUGCCACAAAUCUGUUCUGAUGAGGUAGGACAAGUAAGGACUACUAUCAAGAGCAGUGGGAUAAGCGGACAGAGAACUCUGUAAGGUCAGUGGCUGAGAUGAGCAGAUACUAGCCAUGUGAAAUGAUCUCUAAGCUGACUCAAGCAAGGCUCCUUCCAAAGCUGUAAGACUUAGCAAAGACAGAUGCCAGCGCCUUGAAAGUAAGAGGAAGUCAUCAUUCAUGGAGAGUCCUCUUCAAAGCUGAUCUUGGAAACUGGAUUUACAACUAAGUAAAAUGGUCUGGGGAAAUGGGGCAUUUAUUUUAGAGGCUGCAGUCAUAGAAAUAAAAAUAUGUAGUUGAGGAUUGUAUCAUCUAGAUCAGAACAGAGUUUGUGAUUUUUAGUUUUCCCGCCAUUUCUUGCCUGAUCUACGUUUCGUGGAUUUAUGCCACUCUCAUCUUGACUGUUCUAAAGGUAGAUACACAUUUUUCAUUGUUUGAAUUCUUCCAUCGUGCUUCAAGCACGCCAUCCAUUUACAAAGGUGUAUUGACUAUGCAUUCUAUAGAGCUUCAUAAAAUAAGCUGGUGAAAGCAACACAAAAUAGAAUUUAAGCAUGCUGGAAUUACUGAUUUGGCCCAUAUUCUAGCUGCUCUGUUUCCUAGUGACUAUAUACAAACAAAUUCUUUCAAAUCUGGCUUAAUGAAAUCAGAUCCUGAAAAUUCUACACAGCACUUGUGAUUAAUGUGUUAUUCAAUGAAUGUUGCCUGCUUCUCUUUAGUAUUUAGAAGAUACAAGAAAUGGGAUGAAUUCAGAUAGACCAAUUCAAAUCAUCCUUUAUCCUCUUCAUAAUCAUGAUAUUGCAGAGGACACAUCACAACAACAAUGUCUGCACCACAGGUAAAUGAAGCUCUCUAGAGGAACCUCAGUGGACACAGGUCACAGAAGGAAACAAACGUAUAAUUGUAUUUGUACUAAAUCAAAACAUAACAUCCUAUGUACUUCCUGAAAGCUUAAGCCAUGGAACAUCAUGUGAUCUCUGACUGGCCAGUGACCAUGAAAUCCAGAAGAAUUUCAGCAUGAAUCUGCAGAUGUGUUCAGAGAAGAAUCUCUUGAUGCAGCUGAAUCUUUUGGGGGUGUUCCUUUCUUCCAGUAACCCUACUGGCUGGCCCUUCAUUUACUGUAUCAACUACCAUCAUUAGUUCAUCUAUUAUAUACUUGGUGCUCUUGUAGUCAUUGGGAAUAGAGAAGACAAAAGAAAAGAAAAACCUCAUUUUCAUGAGAUUUAAUUCUGCUGGAAAUAAAUAAUUAAAACUAUUCCAGAUGUUAAUAUAUUCCUAAAAGAAAACAAAGCAGAGAUAGACAGAUGUGUGGGAGUCCUUGAGGAGUGACCAACAACAAAAGAUUGAAGUGAGCCACAGGAAACAAUCAGCAGGGUGCUUCUACUGACCUCUAAAUCUUUCUAUAUUCUAUAUUGGGAUACUUCCUUAACAGCAAUAAUGCCCCAAGAGAAAAUGUAUUAUCAAUUCUAUGCCUAUUAUCCUUAAAAUAAAAGCCUUUUGAUUGCUACAUGUGGAAACAAUGGUUUUCAAAGACAUUUAGAUACAUAAAACCAUGUUAUCAAGUGAGAUGGACCAGUUUAUAUAUUAUAUUUUUGCAAGCUGAACUUCCUAGUAAUUAGGCUGCAUUUCACCCUAAUGUGUGACUUUAUUGUGUGAAUUUGGUUUCAACAAUGUAUGUUUUCUCCAUGUAUAAAAUGAAAGUUAUGUAGGGUCUACAUUAAACAUGAUUAUCUUUGUCUCCAUAUUGCUCCAAUGAAUUAUACUUUGUUGUGAAAUCUGUAUUAUCAAUUGGAUUUGCUUAUGGGCUUACUCUAUUCACAUAUAUUUUUUUUCAGCAUGCAAAAAUUGUUGUCAAUAGCAUUUACCUUACACCCUACUUCUCAGUAGAUGCAGUAAAAUAAAAUAAUCUCAUUGUCACCACAAAAUUGUAGGAGUGAAGUCUCAUAUUUCAACUACU